rnacentral:rRNA from 1 species
UCCAGACUCCUACGGGAGGCAGCAGUGAGGAAUAUUGGUCAAUGGCCGAGAGGCUGAACCAGCCAAGUCGCGUGAGGGAAGAAUGUCCUAUGGAUUGUAAACCUCUUUUGUCAGGGAGCAAAGUCACCCACGUGUGGGUGUUGGAGAGUACCUGAAGAAAAAGCAUCGGCUAACUCCGUGCCAGCAGCCGCGGUAAUACGGAGGAUGCGAGCGUUAUCCGGAUUUAUUGGGUUUAAAGGGUGCGUAGGCGGGCAUUUAAGCCGGCGGUCAAAUGUCGGGGCUCAACCCCGGCCUGCCGUCGGAACUGGGUGCCUUGAGUGGGCGAGAAGUAUGCGGAAUGCGUGGUGUAGCGGUGAAAUGCAUAGAUAUCACGCAGAACCCCGAUUGCGAAGGCAGCAUACCGGCGCCCUACUGACGCUGAGGCACGAAAGUGCGGGUAUCGAACAGGAUUAGAUACCCCAGUAU